rnacentral:lncRNA from 1 species
CAAAAUUUUUUUUCUAGAAUUAGCUUGAAUGUUUUCUGACAAAGUACUCAGGUUCAGGAUUCUAUAUCUAUAAAGAUUUAUUGGUACAUACUCUGAAGUUAUUGGAAAAUGACAUACCUUUCUAGCUUUCUUUAGACUCUACGUCUUACUAUUGUACGAAUUGAGAGAAGGUAGGAAAUGCAUCUUUUCAUUUGCUGUCAGCACACACCUUGAUUUAUCGGACACAUGAUUAGCUUCUGAGCUGCCUUAGACAAAUGCAGUUCUUGCAAUUCUGCAAGUUUUACAUUUAGCAGAAGUGAAAUAAUGUUGUGACAUCAGUGACACAUAGGUGAAAGAAUUAAGGAUGUAUUAUUUCUUUCCUCUUUUAAAGACAAGAUAAUAACACUUACCUCAGUGUUUUCUAUUUUUAAUAAGUUGCCAAAAAAAGAAGGGUUGAACGGAAUCAUGUGCUGUUCAGCAGAGCAGGUGGUGUUUGGAAUCAUUUUCCACAUGGCAGGAUGUCUUCUACUUGUCUUCACAUGGCUAGAGAUCAGGUAAAAGAGACUUCACACAUAAAAAUAACUUCAGUUAAGGUAAGCACCACUCGAUAAGAGUUAUGCUCUUACAUAUAAUUUCUAUUCUCCAUACAAACUUGUUUUCAUAGCUUCAUUUGAGCCUUUUUCAAUUACUAGCUCAUAUAAAAAAGUAAUCAUUUUAUCGAGGAUUUUUACAUGGAUGUGAAAAAUAAAAUCUAAGUUAUAGAGUUCUAUGGGCUAUGUCGUACGCCAUAAAGUGAAUCAAAGGGUGUUUAGAAUUGUAGUUUAUACUGACAAAGGUCUUCCUAUAUUGUCAUCAUUAAUUCGAGGUAUGAAGAAAAAAUCUUAUGAUUUCGUUUGUAGUGUUAAUUUUAAUUUGGCUUGUGCGAAUAGUAUUUUUUGCAGUGAUCAUGAACAUUUCACAUUUGUAACAUAGUUUUUUGUUGCUAUGUCACAUUUUUCACAGGAUGUAGUUUCUGAGAAUAAUUUUCCCCAAUAAUGCUUAUGGAUGUUGUUGGGAUGGAUGAAUGUGCCAUGGGAACAUUGCCUUAGCAUAUAAGUUUUUAAUCAUGAUGCUUCCCUUGAUGUAUUACUACAGUUCAUUAGUGACAGUGAGUGUGCAUUUACAGUGCAGAAGCCUCCAACUUAAGGAGUGUUUGGAUCAGGGGCUAAUAACUAAUAUUAUAUUACUCUAAAACCAGUAUCAGUAUUUGAUGUCUUGUCCUGUACUGAAACUAUAAUAAUGGUGCUCCACUUGCGUGAACUAUUGCUAAACCCCACUCUUGAUGUUUAGCUAACUUGUCACGAUUACAAGAGGUAAUGUGACUGCUGCAAGAUAUCAUGUGUCUGCUCUGCUCUUCCUUUCUUUUAUUUCCCCUGAGGCCUGAACCCUCAGAAGGGUCUCCGUUCCAUGCUCAAUGGGAUUAGGGACAGGAAUACAAGAUUCAUGAAAUCAUGGUGCAGUGGAGAACGGGAAUAGGGACAGAAAUACAAGAUCUAUGAAAUUAUGGUGCAGUAGGAGAAUGGGAACAGGCAAAUGAAUAUGGGAUGGCCGGACAAGGACAGGAAUACAGGACGAGACUGGACAUAGUGCAUGGAGCUCCGUAAUCUCCUCUGGCUUCCAUUAUAGAAAAAAUAUGUUUGCAAUGAGCAUGUGACACCGUUCUCUUGUGACUAAAUGUUACUUUAAUGUUGCUGUUUAAUUUCACGGUAUUGUUAUUUUAUUGUGCGAUCUAUGUGUUUUUAGUGUAAAAGUUUUGAUGUCCCGUAGCAACGCACGGGUACACUACCUAGUAAAUUGAUACAUUUAAACCUAGUAGAACUUCUAUGGUACUCCAAUUUUCAUCCUCAUAUUCAUUUGUAUAUACUCGAUCGAGGGUCCGCAUCGAUGUAAUCAUCGUCGGAUUAUUAGAUUCGACCAUGUGCAUAUUCAAUAAUCUUUACACACACCUCUGUGGUAUUGUAUGCUAGCAGCCUAGCGGUCACUACUACUGUACUAUGGCAGACAAUACCACAGAGGUAUAUACUCUAUGGUAUUAUUAUUUUUCGAAAGGCGUCUGUGGUAUUAUUAGCUCCUCCUACAUUCUUAUACACAACAUCUUUGGCCUUGUUUAGUUCCAAAUUUUUUUGCAAAAUCGACACUGUAGCAUUUUCGUUUGUAUUUGACAAAUAUUGUCCAAUCAUGGACUAACUAGGCUCAAAAAAUUCGUCUCGUCAAUUCCGACCAAACUGUGCACUUAGUUUUUAUUUUCGUCUAUAUUUAAUACUUCAUACAUACGUCUAAAGAUUCGAUGUGACGGAGAAUCUGAAAAAUUUUGCAAAAUUUUUUGGAAACUAAACAAGGCCAAGCAUCCUUAUUCACCAAGAGAAGUACUAUGGCAGCAACUGUCUUUACAAGACUAUUCUGUGGUAAAUGGUGCAUGCUGGUAGGAUAUAAAUAAAUAUGUACUACUCCCCCGUUCCUAAAUACUGCUAUUUCUAAAAGAAAAUUUUAUCUACAAAUACUGCUAUUUCUACUAGCAUACUCGGUCCACUAGCCUAUUUAAUUUCUUCUCGGAACUUCCAUGGUCCACCAACCCAUUUAAUUUCUUCGAGAGAGUAGUACUUCGGCGCAUGGUAAUUGUUUAAGUAUGUUUAGUUAAAUGGUGGAAUCCAAAUUAAUUAAGAGUAGAAUAGUCUUUUGUUUGCCACACUAAUCUGUCUGAAAUCUGCUAGAAAUAGCAGUAUUUAGGGAUAGAUGGAGUAUUAAACAAUUCAGAAUGCGAAGCAAUUCCAUUUCCGAGCUUUCUUAGCUGGCGCUGCCUUGGCCGUUAGGAUCUGGAGCGAUUUCCACUCGGCGUCGCACGUGAUCACUGGCCGCUGCUUCCUCUCCAUGCUGCAGCGCCAACUUGAGCAGUCGCUCGGAGUCCACCUCCGGCCAGGGUCCGGCAGACAUGUCCAGCAAGCUGUGCAGCUUCACCCGCCCCUCGCACUUUCUCGGCGAUGUUAUAAGGCCAUCCACCAGGCCCGUGAGAAGUUGCAGGAUCACCACACCGAAUGCGUACACGUCCGACUCCGUGGUGAGCUCGCCUGUCCUGAAGAACAGAACACAGGGUCCAAGUACCCUAUAGUGCCCUUCGGGUUCGUGCGCCGGAUGAUGGUCUCCUCCUCAAGGGGCUUCACGUGCACCAUCCGCGCCGUCCCAAAACCUCCCAGCCGGCUCGCGUCGCCGUCGUCGAGGAGGACAUUGGUCAGCUUCAGGUCGGCGUGGAUGAUGGCGUUGGGGCGGUGAGAACUGGAGAUACGCCAGCGCCGACCGCAGCUCGGCCAGGAUCCUGACGCGGUCCUCCCAUGGGAGCCCCUUGGAGAGCCUGUCUAGGAGCGUGCCAUUGGGGAGGUACUCGUACACCAGGGUGCAGGACUCCUGACAAACGCCAAUCAGCUUCACAAUGUGUGGAUGCUCCAAUUUGCUCAGCACCAUUACCUGUGCGAUGGAGUUCCCCAACAGCCUCCUUGGUUAUUAGUUAAUGUGUAUUAACUUUUUUUUUUUUUGAAGAAAAGAGUAUGUUAUUAGUUUAUUACCUCUUCCUGAUACUCUGAGAAACCUUGUGUACCAUGAGGCCUCAGUGACUUGAUAGCCACAGGGAUGCCAUCUAGGUCUCCUUUGCACACUGGCCCAUAUCCGCCUUCCCCAAUGAUAUUUUCUGAGUGGAAGUUAUUGGUCGCUUUCCUGAUUUGUGAAAUUGAGAACUGGGCAAAUAAAGGAUAUUAUUAGGUUCUUCUUUAAUCAUACUUGUUUACUAAAAAAUAUGGAAUUUAUAACUGUUUAAAAAUUGAGUAUGGAUAGUAGAUGGCAACGGUGACCAAGUCCUUGGUCUCUCAAUGGGUUCAAAAGCAAUACUGGCCGGAACUCUCUCUCAUUACUUGCGGCAAGUGUGGGCAAAAGAUUGUGAUGGAGUACAAAGUGUUGAAAGAGGGAGUAAAUAAGGGUCGUAUAUUCUAUAAGUGUCCGAAUCAUAAUGUGAGUUAUUUCCAGAUAUUUACUUAUAUAUGUGCCUAUUUUUUAAUGAUGUUACUUAGACUUUUGAUUCUCUCUUCUAAUUUCAGUGGGACGGUACCGACAGAUGUACAGGUUGGUACUGGGAGAAAGAAUACAUUCAACACAUCAAGAUGGUCAUGCAAAAAGACUGCAUUAAAGCUAUUCAAGAGACGAUAGGAGGAUUCCUCCACGAUCAAGUGAUCAAUCCAAACGGCGAGUUUUACUUCAACGGCAACGAAACUCUUAUUCCAAACAAUGAUGAUCAUUUGUAUCGGCUCUAGAGAUUCGGAGAAAAAAACUCUAUGUAUGUAUAUAUAUGUUACGAAUGUUAUACUUAUAAAACUAUAUAUAAAGCUUGUUACAUAUCCAUCUAUUUAAUUAUUAAUAUGGUCUAUUCGUUUUAUUAUAGGCAAAACUUAAUUAUAAAGCUAAGCCUAUAAUAAUAUUUAUGCUUAAUAUGCAUGUAAUAUAUAUAUAUAUAUAUAGCAUAAAAUACGUAUUGACAAACAUAUUAUUAUUAUAUAUAAACAAUAAACAUAAACGAAUAAAUGAACCAAAAACAAAAAGAAAAAAAGGACUACUAAUGUCGGUUGGUUAUUCCAACCGAUGUUAAAGGGUGCUGCUGCCUGGCACCGAUAGGUAGGGGAGGCUUUAGCCCUGGUGCCCUGAACCAGGACUAAAGGAUAGGUCUUUAGUUCUGGAAGGGCAGCACCGGCUCGAAAACUGGAGCAACAGGCCCUUUCUAACCGGUGCAAAUGCCUGAACAUGUAGUAGUGUCAUGAGAUAUCUCGGAGAGGAUCGUCCUUCCUUUGUCAUUGUUUUGUUAGUUACUGUCAAGAUUAGUUCAUUUUGAAAAGUACGCAGUAUGUCAGAGACACUCACAAUACACACAAAUUCACCUAUAUGAACAUUCGCACCUGAGCUCUACCCAUAUGAGUAUCUUUGAAAACCGGGCUAACAAAUUCCUAAGAUUGACAAAGUCACCACAGGCGUCAAACUAUCGACGAAAAUGUCUCGUAACACUAAAAGCAUAAUGUUGUUAAUCCUAAAAAAAGUUUGCCCUCGUCACAGAGAAUUAAACCCAAAACCUGAGCUUCUAUUAAGACUCUUUUAACCACUAGGCCAAGAGUUUGGUCAAUCGUUAUUUCCACAUUGACGUACUGAACAUAAAAAAAUAGGUAUCAUCUGGAUGAAGGAACCUUGAAAAACUUGGGACAUUGGACCCUUAGUAAUGAUUAUUUUUCUAGAAAUCAUUACCACUAAUUAUUAUGCCUACCACGGCUUUAAUUAGAAAGAAUAAAAGUACAAACUACUAGAUUGUUACCAUAAAGAAAAAGAAUAUGCCGCCAACAGGGGCGAAAAUUAUAAAAAUAACCCUGACCCUAACAUGAAGAACAAAAACAACUAAGGUCCAAACUAUAGAAACAACCCCGAACAACAAGAACAAAAAAGAAUGAGCUGCCAAAUGGGGACCAAAUUUUAAAAAUAACUCUAAAAAACAUGAACAAAAAGACACUAUACCAAUUGUGGGCAAAAUUAUAAAAACAACCCUAAACAACAAGAACAAAAAAAUAAAGCUACCAAUUGGGGACCAAAUUAUAUAAACAACCCCAAACAACAAAAACAAAAAACAAGCUGCCAACUUGGGGACGAAACUAUAAUGACAACCCAUAAUAAGUAAAAAAUGCCAACUAAGGGACAAUUAUAAAAAUAAGCUACCAACAGAGGGCCAAAUUAUAAAAACAAUCCCAAACAAUUAACAAGCACACAAAAAAAGAUGACAAUUCAGACCAAACUAUAAAAAUAACCAGUAAUAAUAACAAAAAACAAGUUACCAACGGGGAGGACAAACUAUAAAAACAGCUCAAAACAAGCAGAAAAAAAAAGAAGAAGCCGCCAACUAGGGGCCAAAUUUUAAAGGGGCCAAAAUUUAAAAGUAGACCAAGAAAACUAGAGAGAACCAUCCCAAGCCCAAAUAGAGGAGCUGACAACGGUUGUAAUAAAAAUAGAAAAAAAAAGGUAAAAAGAGCGAAGGCCUAUAUGACCGCAUAAAAAAAGCCCAAACCAAAAGUAAAUCCCACAUAAGAAGGGUAGAAAAGGCCCAUGAAAGAAAAACAUAAAGCAGCUCCGACAAAAUGGCUGCAUGUCAUAAAAAUCAGAAGACAACUUUUGAGGCAAGUAAUCAAUCCAAACCCUAAACGAAAUAAAUACCAUGGAAGAUGGACAACACAUGGAGGAGAUUGGAGACUCAAAAUUUAGAAGCAAGGAUGUAGGCGUAUGCCACAACCAGAUCAUUGAUAAGGUGAGCCCUUUGAUCUGCAACAAAAGCAAUGAUCUCUCCCCCUACAUAUAUAGAAUCUACAGAUCACUCUUCUGCAUGAAAAAUAGCAAGACAUGGAAAUUAGAUUCUACAUGUCAACAAACAAACGUUCUGCAUACUUGAUCCCCAAAAAUCCUUUUAUAGGUGAAAAUUAUAUUAUAUUAGCAAUAAAAAAAUCAACAACAAAAUACUAAAUGAGUUUUUACAAGGGAAUAUUAUGCAAAACUGCAAUCCUCCAGCAAAAUUCAAACAACAAAAAGAUCUUGAGAACUCUUUGGACAAACAUCGACAAACAACAGUUUCACUAUUAGACUUUACGUAUGUUGGGCUGACCACCUAUUUUCUUUAAAAAUAUUAGAAUGUGCCUUAGAAACUCAAUAAAUGAAUAAAAUCUAAGAAACAAAGAACAAUGCAAUGUAGUAAUUAAGUUUAACCCACUAUUGAUUCAUCAUGUAUGCUUGAUUUCCUCUCUGCAACCAUCUAUGAUGAGAUUGAUGACAUGAAGUUAUUACUUUCCUUGUGGGUAGUGCCAAGAAGAACCUCUCCCCUUGCAGACAAUGGCCACGAUGAAGUCAAUGACUGCAAUGUCCACCUCAUCAUGAUAAUCACCAAAAUUACCGCAAGUACAAGAUCCUAACUAAAAAAGUAUUUGAUUUUGUCCAUAGAUUUAUUUACAUUUAGGCUAAGCCAUAAAACUAAACUAGUUUUAAAAAAUUGUUGUGAAAGAAAGAUGGGUCAGUGGAUAUACCCGCUAGAGAAGAAAAAAUUGUUGUGAAAGAAAGAUUGGUCGUGGAUAGACCCGCCGGAGAAGGAGAAGAAAGAUAGGGGCCUGGGAUGGACCUGUCGGAGAAGGAGAAGAAAGAUAGGGGCUUGGGAUAGACCCGCUAGAGAAGAAGAAAGACAAGGGCCUAGAUAUAGCAACAAAGGUGGUAGCGAAGAUGUAAUGUCCAAGAGUCCAAACGGCUCAGAUCCACUUUGCACGCUAAGUGAACCACACCUAGCAGUCUAGCACCAUCCCGCUCACAUUUUCGUUCUCUUUUCAAUAUAAAAAUACUGACCCGAAGAUGGUAGGAUGAACUCUACAAACCUUAUGUGUUGGUCUAAUCUGUUUUUAACAACUAGUAGAACUAAACCCAUCGUAAUAUCUCAAUAAUAUGCACUUGGGCUACUAAAAAGGCCAAAUUCCAAAUUAGCCGGAUAUCACAUAACAACAGAGUAGCGGCCGUGGCGGAUGUGAUAAUAGACAAAAAGAAACCUACUGAUGUAUAAAUUUCACUGAUGACACACAAUAAUAUUGCCAGUAUAAGAUUCAUUAUUACGAUUUUUUUCCAUAAUCUAUAAAUACCGUCGCUUUCAUUGAAGACACCGCCAUUUAAUAGAUGUAUUAUGCUAACCCAAAGUUAAAAAGAUUGAACUUUGAAGAACCAAGAUGACUUUAUUAUAUCUGUGAUUGGUUUUGUAAUCUACGGGCGAUUCCCUGGGUUGGUGGAGAUUUGGGAGUACCAAUAGCGAAUGAAUAUUUAUAUGUGGAGAUGGCACCGACGACCCUACAAUCCUCCGCAAAGCAAGGCUGCUGUUCCAGAACAGGUUUCACAGUGGCACACCAGCCGGCCAAUUAUCUGCCUCAACACGCUGUUACAUUCCAAAAAAGUGCUUUUAGUAUGAGCACCGACAAAACCAGUACCGGAGAGUUCACUGCACACAGAGAAAAAAAAAAGAAACGCAGGGGAGGACCAGAUCUACACUGUACUAGCGGCGCGCCACACCGACACAUGGGUGGUGUUUGCAACAUCUGGCGUCGGGACCCGAAUCGACGACAGACGUCAGAGACACCGCCAACAGUUUAUUGAUCGCGAACAUGGGGUCUCCAUGCCUUGCCCCGCCGAAUCCUCGCUCCCAUGCGGCGGACGCGGAUGGAUCCAGGCCAAUAAUGCAUGAUCAUCGCUAAGCUCUAGCUCGUGUCAGCGUCAGCUCCCCAGUAGCAGCAGCAUGCGCUCCCACAUGCACGCACGGCCUCUGCCGGCCGCGCGCGGCGCGAUGGAUCGAUGGUGACGAUCACCGCGUGCAUGGCCUGUGUCUGAUCCAGUCCAGAACGGACGAUUGGCACCGUCGUCCGGGCGAUCGAUCACCACCUCGAUCGAUUCCUAGCUAUUUAAACGACGUAGCCCUGCUCAGACGUUUGGCCAUUAGUGCUGUGCUGGUGGUUCAUCUCCUAGCUCUCGCUACUAGCUUAUUGCUGACAGUAACAACAAUGAAGGCAACAACUGGGUCAUCAUCAGUAGCUCGCGUUCUUGUUUUGCUUGCGACGACGGCAUGCCUCCUGUGGAAAGAAGCCGCGUGCUUCUCGGCGUCCGGCAUGAACAAGGCGUUCGCCACUUUCUACGGCGGUAGCGACGCUUCAGGAACGAUGGGUAAGUAUGUAAGUAAGAAGAUCGAUCGAUGAUCGAGACGGCAAUAACAUAUACAGUCCAAAACUAGCUAUAAUAGCUGAUGCAUACAAAUCCAUGCAUGCAUCGAUACUGUGUGUGCAGGUGGAGCUUGUGGGUAUGGGAACCUGUACUCGACGGGGUACGGCACGAACACGGCGGCGCUGAGCACGGCGCUGUUCAACGACGGCGCCUCGUGCGGGCAGUGCUACCGGAUCUCGUGCGACUACCAGGCGGACCCGCGGUUCUGCAUCCGCGGCACGUCGGUGACCAUCACGGCCACCAACCUUUGCCCUCCCAACUACGCGCUGCCCAACGACGACGGCGGCUGGUGCAACCCGCCCCGGCAGCACUUCGACAUGGCCGAGCCUGCUUGGCUCAAGAUCGGCAUCUACCGCGGCGGCAUUGUUCCCGUCAACUACCAAAGGUUCAUAUAUUUGAUAUAUAUAUAUAUUUCCAGUAAAAAAAAAAGCUGCAUGCAUGAUCUGAAUUCUGAAUGUAUGUACGUUGUUGAUCCAAUUAAUUCAAUUAACCUGCUACUAUUAUUACUACUGUUUGUGAAUAUAUGAACAGGGUGCCAUGUGUGAAGCAAGGAGGGGUGAGGUUCACCAUCAACGGGCGCGACUACUUCGAGCUGGUGCUCAUCUCCAACGUCGGCGGCUGCGGCUCCAUCCAGUCGGCGUCGAUCAAAGGAUCGAGGACCGGGUGGAUGGCCAUGUCGAGGAACUGGGGAGUCAACUGGCAGUCUAACGCGUACCUCGACGGGCAGAGCCUGUCGUUCCAGGUCACCAGCAGCGACGGCCAGACCAAGACCUUCCUCAACGUCGCGCCCGCCGGCUGGGGGUUCGGCCAAACGUUCGCGACCUCGCAGCAGUUCUCUUAGUUAUUUAUUAGUGGACGUUUUUGCUCUCUCUCGCUCGUCUUUUCGUAUACAUAAUAUGCCUCAGACUCGACUCGAUCGUCAAUACCGUGUAAAGUUUACCUGCCUUUCUUCACAUGUCCCCACCCGCCGCGGUCAAGGAGAUAUAUAUGUGCUUUGACUUAUGCUUUCUUCCCCUAGAUUCAUUCUAUUCCUUUUCUUUGAUGGACUUGCAUUUCCAAAAAAAAACCCAACCUUGGCGAGCGGGGUCAGACCUUGCCGAUCAUAGAUCGGCUAGUUGCGGUCCUUGUGGUGGAACUAGACCACCCGGGGUUAAGUCCUCGAUUUUUCUGGAUUUAUUCUAAGAUUUAACGGCGCUAUGCUUUUAGAGGCAGACGACGUCCUCAUCAACAACGAGACGCCUGUGAUGACUUCGUGAAUCUCAUGAUGUGACGGCUCAGUCCUUUGAAAGUACUCAUCUCUACUAUAAUGGACCAGUCUAAAUUAUACUAGAUCUUCCAAGUAAAAUGUCCCCCGCUGAGAGAGCCUGUAACCACUAUGCACCUGUAGAAAUGCACACAGAAAUUUGUCUCCAUUAAAAUCAAGGGUUAAUAACACAUCUAAACCAAAUCUAAUGGUCAUGAUUUGAUGUUUGAUGCAGGCUUCUCACCCCGCGCCCUCCUCCCACUUUAACGCGCGACACCGCUCUGAUCGACGGACGUUCGAAGCCAAUCAUAAUCGAAUAAAACAAUAAAACAAAAUAAAAAUAUGAAACAACGUUUGAACCCUUCUCUCGGGCUCUCGGCCGCCACACCGAUCCAUGUCCUAAUCCUUCAGAUCGCCCCACCCACGCCCUUCGCAGAGGGGAGGAGGAAGCCGUCGUUCGAACCCUUCUCCCGGCCGCCGCACUGAUCCAUGUCCUAAUCCUUCAGAUCGCCCCGCCCACACCCUUCGCGGAGGGGAGGAGGAAGCCGAGGGUGCCUGGUGUGGGCUUCCUGGGUCUCCGCCGAUACGGUGCCUCCGGCCGUCGGGAAGGCGAAGGCGUACCUGUACGUCGUGGCGCUUCUUCACUGCCACUGGGAGGUGUCCGGGAAGAGACACCACCGAGCUGGGUCUCCGAAUGACGGCGGCGAGUGGACGCCCUCGAUGGAGCGAUCCUUGUCAGGCGCCUGAUCCCCGUCAGCGCUCGUGUGCUCGCGAGGCCCCAUGGCCCCUGUUGCGAUCGCGACAACCGUUCUUCAGGCCCCUCGCUCCCCGUGGGGCGCUGUUGUUCUACGCACAGGACGACGGUGGGUACAUAUCCCCAUGGAUGCAGUCGUAACAGGGGCUGAUGUGGCUGGCUGGCGGCGACGAUGGGUCGUCUACCCCGGACGUGAUUCCUUUGUCCAUGCUCGCCAUCACGUACCUCUACGAUGCCAUGCCAUGCGCACCGCGCGCGGACGCCGUCGCCCGACACGGCCUCCUCCCCGUGCUCUCCUCUCGGCUGCUAGCCAUCGAGUACCCCGACGUAGCUGAGGUAAACCCAAAAGCUCUUACAACAUGAUCGGCCGAUCAUGUUUGUCUAAGGCACUUUAUUUAUCUGACCAUAUUCUGUUGUUUAUGCAGUGUUUGCAAGCAUUUGAGAAGAUAUCACGGAUCCAACCUGGCCCAGUGCUUGCAGGCGGGCAUGAUCAACGUUGUGCUGGCAUUCAUUGACUUCUUCGAUACAAGUAUAUUCAAGUUAGAAUUAAUUUUAAAGAAAUCACCUUUGAAACUGAGAAUUUAAUACAAUUGCUAAUUUGAUGCCCACUUUCAGGGUUGUAGUAUCAGCUGUAUGGAUUCAGUCCCAACUCUAUGUAAUCUUCUACAAUUUGAGGACAAAGUGGUACUGUUGUUCCCCCAUCUAACUAUCAUUUUUGGCAUGUAAAGAGUGUUCUGCUUUUGUUUGUAAGUGAUGUCAAUUUCCAGAUGGUGGAGAAGGUUGCAGCUUGCUUGAUAAGCAUCGUGGACUCCUUUAGCUCGUCAGUUGAUAUUGUCGAGUGUCGACUAGCUCUGUCACCAGGGUGCUUUUUUGAAGUAAUCUUGGGACUAGGGGGCAAGCAAGGAGCCCCCACAGGCAAUGUCACCAGGGUGUUAUAGAGAAGGUCCUACCUUUGACCCACACCAAUGGACUCAUGGCCCUUUCCAUCGACGUGCACUGUCGUUUGCUCUACAACUUCUUGCAUGUGUUCGAUAUGUGUUGAGGGAGCUGACUUGUGUGUCGUGGUUGGGCUUCUUUCUAAGCUAGCCUGUACUUCACUUGUGGCAGUGAAGUCUCUAUUUGAGCUGGGUGUUAGUAGCACAAUAAAGUGGAUUUUGAUCACUUCAGACUUAUUAGAUCUCCCAUGGCAUGCUAGAGGCAUAGCAGAUAUGAUGUUUGUUGCUAGAUGCUAUUAAUAAAUCUUUUUAUAGCUAUCGUGAUAUAUACUUUUCCUUUUAAACAAAAUAUUAUGCGUGUGCUCUUCUUGCAUUCAAUAGUUUUGCUUUUGCAUGUGCCAUUGAUUUAGUUUGUGUAACGUUUUAUAGAUCAAUAAAUAAUUCAUUAUCCUACUUUUGUAUUGAAAUAAAAUGUUUAUGAUAUGUGAAUUGAAAUUUCGAGAAUCCAAAUAAUAUUCCCAUUGUAUUUAAAAUAGUCUUUGAAAAUAUAUAGAAAAGAGUUUGUAGCUAAUCUAAGUUAUGUCAUCAACAAUGUCUGUAAUAAUUCAUGUUUAUGUUGCAUUGUGCCCUUUUUCCUGUGCCUGCUGGACCAAGUGAGACAUGUGUAUCAUGGAGAUUGGAGGCCACACAGAAAGUGUAAGGUUAUAUGGGGCAUGGCACAAUCCAUUAGUAAAAUUUUGUUUUUAUCUGGAAACAAUUUGUGGAUCACUGCUGUAAUAACCAUUGAUCAAGUAUAAUAGAUUGAUUUAAGAUGUACCAUAUUUUUCAAAUUUAUAAUGAUAGGUUGUUUAUCAAGUUUGAUUUAAUGAAUUAUUGUUUAAUGUGUGUCACCUUAGAUGUCACCGUAGCGUUAGCACGGGCACUGUACUAGUAGGGAUAGGUUUGUGUACUUGUGUUCGUAGGGAUGAGUGUGCGUGCGUUGUAAGUGUCUGUGUUAUACUAUGUAAUUCUAAAAAAAACCAUUACAAACUAUUAAAUAAUUAUUAAGAAACAAAAGAGCUAUAGAAUAGUAUACUAGUAGAGUGUAGAUCGAGUACAUACCUUCUUUUUUACCUUUAGUACCGAUCAUAGUUGGACCCAAGACAAAUGGAAGCUAGCAACCAGGACUAAAAUUGUUGUCCCAACGGCUAGCAACGUAGGCUUUUGCACGAGGAGACUUUAGUUCCGGUUGAAGCCACCAACCAUGAAUAAAGGUCUUGGACCUUCAUCCCCUCCAACCAAGAUUAAAGAGUGAUUUGUAGUCCUAGUUGGAGCCACCAAUAGAGGUACAAGGCUAUAUACCCACAUUAGCUUUCUUCCACCCCCAGGCCAAAGCCAUUUCAAGGUCUUUGCUUGCUCUAUGUUCUUGCUUGUGGAAGGAGUUUAUGCCUGGAGGAUUUGUGAAGGCUUCAUUUCUUCAUCCUUUCUUGGGUUCUAAAUGCUAGCCACUUCAUCCUCUCGUGUUUCAUUGCUAGUAUAGUUUAUUUCAUGGUUUAGAAAUAGAGAAAUUUAUAGUUUUGUAGAUUGGGAAGAAUGGUUGUUUUUUAUUAUACGCCAUUUGAGGUCAAACUAACUUGAUAGCUUGCAAAUGUAGAAGAAAGCUUAUAGUAGUUCAUCAUAACAAGUAUCCACCUUUCAUAGCUAGUAUAGCUCAUUUCAUGGUUUAGAAAUGGAAAAAGUUAUAGUAGUUGAUCGAAAGGAGUAUAGAGUAGAUGGUGAUUGCUUCUGGGUCCUCGGCCAAGCAUAGGGUUCAUGUGCGACUAAGGCCGGACCUCUCUCUCAUUGCAUAUGGUGAGGGAAAGAGGAAGAUUGUGUUAGAGUACAGUGUGAAGAAGCAGUGUCCCAACCAUGGUCGCAUCUUCUACAGGUGUCUGGAUCGCAAAGUGAGUUCUCUUUUGGUCACCUUUUCUAUGGUAUAUAUUGCCAUUUUUAUGAUGAUUUUGAUUAAUGUUCUUGAUUUUUGUGUUCCAAUUUUAGUAGAGUGGUACUGAAUGUGAAGGUUGAUAUUGGGAGGAAGAGUAUGUUAAGCACGUGCAAGCAUAGGCUAAGGAGGUGUUGGUAUUUCUUAAUGUUUACAAAAAAUAAUCUGCAAGCGUAUGGAAUUAUCGUUGUAGCUUUCAUCUAGAACUAUUUAGGGUAUCAUAUUUUUCAUGUGGAAUGGAGGUAUUUCUUCUAGCUAACUCAUCCAAGGACAACACAAGGAUAGCUGAUGAGGGUAGAAAAGGAUCCUAUGGCUUAGGGUCUAAGGAUAGAUAAACUCUACUUUUACUUGCUUACUUCGGGCACCGGAUUGUAACUUGUCUGCCAGUCGAUGCCGGUCUGUAGCUCUAUGUUGUAUCCGAACAUGGGGGAUUACAAGGGACGGAUAGGGCUAUCACCACCUAUCACCAACCCCUCAACUGGAGGGCAUGAGGUAAACGAAGGUAGCCUCUAGCCUAGACACCACUUCUAUGCUAUCAACUACUACUCUAGUGUGUUAAUAAGGGUCAUCCAUCUUUACCAGGGCCCUUCUACUAGAGCAUCUGUCACGGGGAUGAACGACGAACCUGCAAACAAGUAAAAGCAAAACUUAACUAGUCAAAGUACUUUGUACCAACAGAAUCAUGAAUACUUACUAAAUAUCCGUUGAGGUACAAAGUCAGUAUUCGUCGAGGUACAAGCAGGGGAAGGUUCCCGACAAGCUCGGUACUUCUUUCCUGAACUCUCCCUCACAUCUCUCCCUAGUUUUAUAAAGCUAGCUAGGGCCUAAGCCCAUUGCAGUGUGUUGCUCUUCUACUCUUUGGUGCUCUUCCUCUUGUGUGAUAUUGUUCAAAUGAGGAGGGGGCCUACUUUUAUAAAGCUAGGGAAUAUUAGGGGAUACUGUUGGAGAGGAAGGGUGUCUUUGAAAAAGGUUUCAACUCCACAUGGAAAGCACCCUACGGUCAGUUUGUAGGGAAUAUUCUGAGGGAAACCCACCUGCACCGUCAUCAGCAACAUUGAUGGCACCACCUUACCAAAGAUGGGCCUGAGGCACUCUAUUAGGGGUGUAGGUGCAACAGGGGUGCUCCCGCACCCUAGAGGAGCCAUCUUGACCCAAUCCUUGGUGUGUUGGCCUCUAGGACUACAUGGGCCACUCUUGCAAAGUUUGGCGCUAUUUGGAGCACAUUUGGCAUAGCCCAUGUCUCUUAAACCAUGUAAUGAGAGAGAAAUCACUAUCUUUUUUAAAACAUAGAGUAUUUCUCUAACAAACAUUUUUUGUCUACUCCCAGUGUAGGAGCAGAGUUUGGGAUGGUGGCAUGUUUUAGCGUAUUCUCAGUGUAGGAAUAGCUCAUGUAUGUGGGUGUACAUGAGUUUUUAUCUUAGGAGCAUCAAAAAUUUCUCAAUGGCAUAUGUGGAAGGUUUUUGUCAUGUAUGAUCAUAUAUCGCCUUGGUAGGUAUUUGCAUAUCAAGGAACAUGCUAUUUAAAUUUUUUAUUUGUAAAUAUAAACCCAAGUACUUUGCAAGGAAGCGCAAUCAUCAUAUAUCAUCCUACUAUAUCUCAUUUGUCAAUCACUUGGAUAAAUUAGGGUCCUUAUGAUAAGUGUUCACAAGUUUGUUGGAAUAUUAGCAAGGAAUAAAAAGUAUGCAAAUUUUAUCAAAGGAUAGCAUGGAGAUGAAGCGUCAUUUGAUUUGUAUUUUAAAUUUGUUUUAGUUUUAAACUUUAAAAUUUAGGAGAGAUGAGGGGUAGCGUUGCACAAAACUUCGUGGAAGAUGAAGGAGCUAUAGGGAGUCAAAGAUGUUUUGGCUAAAACCAUCCAUUCUGGAGCCAUAUGUUCCGUCCUUCUAGACGUUGGAUCACUCGAUGUUGUGCACCGUGUUGGUAGGAGAUCGCGGAUGUGUGUAUUAGCUUGCUUGAGAGUCUUUCCCUACACUUAUUCUUGUACCUACUGUAUUUAAUCAAGAAAAACAAAAAGAAACGACCAAGGGAUCUACAGUUAAAAUACUAGGAGCCUAAACCUUAUUUAUUAUCAUUAAUAUUACAAAUUAUUAUUAUUGUUAUUAUUAUAUUAAUAUUCAUUAUUUUUAUCUAUUAAUCUAUUAUGUUUAUUUAUUUUAUUAUUAUAUAUUAUAUUUUUUAUUGUUCACCACACAAACAUUUAAAAAACAUAUCAUCAUUUUUUAAUAUCUAUCUUGAAGCAAUUAAGGUUCAUUACAUUAUUCUUCUCCACUCUGUUUGCUGGACUACCUAACCGAAUUUCAUUUUUCUAUAGGUGUCCAUUCAGUCGUUUUAUAAACUUUGUUUCGCGGAGAGAUCAUCUAAAAUCGUUUUUUUCUAUUUUCAACCCUUUUUUAAACUAUUUUUUGAGUUUGACAUGGAAUUUUUCUUAUAACUAACUCCUUUGGCUGCGCCAACAUGCAUGACGCGCCACUCUAACAUUGUCGCGCUAUACAUGGUGGCACAGCAGAGGCUGCUGACAUGGCGGCCCUGCCACACCACCGCUCAUGGCGCGGCAGUGUCGCGCCGUAGAUCUCGGCGCGGCCCUGCCACGCCAUGAGCCGUGGCGCGGCAGAGCCAAAUAAGAGGCCACGUGCGCGCGGGGUCGGGCGGCCCAGUCUUAUUUCGGCCACCUGACCCACCGCCGCCGCUGCCUGCCUCCCACGCGCCGCCGCCGCCACCGCCUGCCUCCCCAGCCGCGCGCUCGCCCGGCUCCGCCUCGCCGCCAUCCAGCACUGGCAGCCACGGCGUCGUCGGACCCUGCGCCCCCAGCCUCUUCGUGAACGCCCCUGCCCUCCCUUUCUCGAUUGAGGUAUGUUUUCUUCCCUUGUUGUAAUUUGACUUAUUGACGAAGAUUACCAUAUUGAUAUUCGGGCGCAUGGUAAACAUCAGUACUCCAGUGUAUUUCCCCGUCUGAUUCGAAAUAAAUAUGCUUUUGUACCUUUUCUUUAAAA